GGCACAUCAACAGGUAUUCAAACCAGUGGCCUUCCGUUUACUGGCCUGACAGACUAACCUCUAGGCUACAUGCUGCCCUGUACUGCAACAACUCGCGGUGAGAUAUUCGCCAGUACAGGGGGACUUUAUACAUAGGGACCUAAGGGACCCUAUUUAUGGAAACAGCCUGUUCCUCUUCCCAAAAGCCUGAUACAAAUAUUUGUAUUCUUUCAUAAAAUAAAUUGUUUUAUUAUAUGAUAUACCAUAUUGUCCAUUGACAGGCCAAAUGCAGUCAAGUUUUUUCUGCAAAAUUUUCUGAAACGGCUGACUUCCUUAGGCUACAUUCCCUUUACUGCUCUGACAUUCUUUUUUAGGUCAUUGCAAUGUGCGGAAACCUAAGCUCUAAUAUUCAGAGAGGCUCAAGUCAUUUUCUCUCUGAAUUCGACGUGUUUCAUUCUAUAUCCAUGGGCUAGACUUGAGGAGAGGCGGGACUGUACAGCGGGGAAGGGCGUUCUUGCUGAGGUCAGACCCAUACUCGUCACACAAGGGGUGGGUCUUCCGGCGCAAAGGAAAACCCACCUUUUUCAUUGUUAGGGACAAGGUGGAAUGUGUUGGUUUGAUCCUACAGCUCAGGCGGGGAAUAGAGGGAAGAAACAACGAAAGCAGUUAAGUAGGAAAAAAAGCCUUCUGCCGCUGGUGUACCAGAAAUCUGUGAAAUAACUUGUCUUUGGUUCAAACCUAGUCAUCUAAUCGGCACUAACCGAAUGAAUUUGGGGACUAUCGCAGAUUCUUUCAUCGCAAGUGUAGGUGAUGGCCUGUGUGUAUUGGCUACAGUCGGUCAUGUCCAGACUGACGCUGACAGGAGGGAGGAGCCAAACCGCACCACAACAUCACCCACCUUGCAAUCUAAGCGGAGGCGGUCAACAUUGUGAAACUAUUUUACCAUAAACGCAAUUGUUUAAAAUCUGGAUGUUUUUAUUUAUUUAUGAUGCAUGUCUUACCAUGUUCCGACCAUAGGAUUGUUUUCUAAACACUUCCUAAUAUGCCAUUGAAACCAGCAUUUCUCUCGUGUUAAUUUUGUUUUACAGCAGCCAAAGACACAAUCCUAAUCAUAUUAACAACCCAUGCGGUGUACUUUGGAGAACAGUGUUUGCCCGCUAAGUGCAAUUUGGAACAUUCCUGCUUAGAGCCUUACUGCAGUGUGCACAUUGCUGUGCUUAUAAUGUGAAGAAAUAAACUAUUAAGGCUAUCAACAUUUUAAGCUAAACUUUCUGAUCUGUUGCGUCAGCCUCAUUGCUUUUAUUAAAAGGUGUUUUAAUUUACUGUGGUUGUAUUAAUCUAUCACCCCACAGCUGUCCCAGAGUCUGUUUUUGGAAGAUUUAUUUCUGGCACAGAAGGACAAGCUGACCAAUAGAAUAGGUCAACUUUUGUAAAAUUGGUGAUAGUAGAGUGACAUAGGCUAGUUAUUUUGCUGUUCGUUACUCAUCUUGUUGUCUGACAAAGUAAAUGUGGGCAGUUCUUCUAACAUCUCCAAUAUGCACCUUGGAAUUCAACGUGCGCUGUUGCAUCCCCGAUGUCUGUCUUCACUAGUUGCCUACUUCGAAGUUGCGAUUCCUGUGAAAAGGGCACGAUCACGUGACGGUCACUGGCUAAUAAGAAUUGCGAUAUCUGAGAGAGCCAUGUGAGUGAAAGGUGCUUUGGAGCAAGGCGAUUUGGCAGCCUGGAGUAGGGAAUUAUAAUUAUUAUAUUCGGGCAUGGUUUUUUGUUGUUGUGGGAAUUACAUCCACACUCUAGGGGGCAUUGCGAGGCCUGGCAGAUGUAGAAUAAAAAGAAGAUAUAAGAAUAAAAAGUUUUUACAGAUUUCUCAGUCUAUUUCUGCCCCAGUGCCUUUUUUUUCAUAGAGCGAGUCAGGUCAGGGGUGCGGAAGACCAUGUUUCAUAGAGCGAGUCAGGUCAGGGGCGUGGAAGACCAUGUUUCAUAGAGCGAGUCAGGUCAGGGGUGUGGAAGACCAUGUUUCAUAGAGCGAGUCAGGUCAGGGGCGUGGAAGACCAUGUUUCAUAGAGCGAGUCAGGUCAGGGGCGUGGAAGACCAUGUUUCAUAGAGCGAGUCANNNNNNNNNNNNNNNNNNNNNNNNNNNNNNNNNNNNNNNNNNNNNNNNNNNNNNNNNNNNNNNNNNGCAUCGGCGUUGAAAAAUCAUAGUCGGUCGACCUGUUAGUGAUUCACAUCGUAUCUAACCGAGUUGUUUCAAACUAUGUUUCAGAGAUGAGUAUCGAAUCGUCUUGAAAAGGAAAGAUGCACAUCCUUACUGCUGGGCCAUCCUCCAUUUCCUUGUCUCCUUACUGCUGGGCCAUCCUCCAUUUCCUUGUCUCCUUACUGCUGGGCCAUCCUCCAUUUCCUUGUCUCCUUACUGCUGGGCCAUCCUCCAUUUCCUUGUCUCCUUACUGCUGGGC
rnacentral:lncRNA from 13 species